rnacentral:rRNA from 1 species
GAUGAACGCUGGCGGCGUGCUUAACACAUGCAAGUCGAACGGAAAGGCCCAAGCUUGCUUGGGUACUCGAGUGGCGAACGGGUGAGUAACACGUGGGUGAUCUGCCCUGCACUUCGGGAUAAGCCUGGGAAACUGGGUCUAAUACCGGAUAGGACCACUUCUUGGAUGUUGUGGUGGAAAGUUUUUUCGGUGUGGGAUGAGCUCGCGGCCUAUCAGCUUGUUGGUGGGGUAAUGGCCUACCAAGGCGUCGACGGGUAGCCGGCCUGUGAGGGUGUACGGCCACAUUGGGACUGAGAUACGGCCCAGACUCCUACGGGAGGCAGCAGUGGGGAAUAUUGCACAAUGGGCGCAAGCCUGAUGCAGCGACGCCGCGUGGGGGAUGACGGCCUUAGGGUUGUAAAAUCCUUUCGCUAGGGACGAAGCGUUUUGUGACGGUACCUGGAGAAGAAGCACCGGCUAACUACGUG